rnacentral:rRNA from 1 species
AGCACGAAUAGUGUAUACGAAUUUUGUUGCAGUUAAAAAGCUCGUAGUUGAAAUUUGAUUGGAACGCUGCGUCACAAGGCGCUAGCGCACGUUUGUGUGCUAGCGCUCGACGCCGGCGUUCUAAUUUUCAAUAAUUACAACAAUGUAUUGUUGUCAAUUAUUAAAUUACUUUGAAUAAAUUAGAGUGUUUAAAGCAAACAAUAGAACUUUAAAUAGUUUUUAAAAAAAGUUUGAAUAUAUUAGCAUGGGAUAAUGGAAAAGGACAUAUAUAUCAUAUGUUGAAAAUUGGAAAAUAGGUUUAAUGGAUAUAUGUAAUGAUGGAUAGGAACGGUCGGGGGCAUUUGUACUGAAGUGUAAGAGGUGAAAUUCAUGGAUUACUUCAAGACAAACAUCAGCGAAAGCAUUUGCCAAGGACGUGUCCAUUA